rnacentral:rRNA from 1 species
UGAAUUGAAGCCCCAGUAAACGGCGGCCGUAACAAUAACGGUCCUAAGGUAGCGAAAUUCCUUGUCGGGUAAGUUCCGACCCGCACGAAAGGUGUAACGAUUUGGGCACUGUCUCAACGAGGGACCCGGUGAAAUUGAAGUACCUGUGAAGAUGCAGGUUACCCGCGACAGGACGGAAAGACCCCAUGGAGCUUUACUGUAGCUUGAUAUUGAGUGUUUGUACUACUUGUACAGGAUAGGUAGGAGCCGUAGAAACCGGGACGCUAGUUUCGGUGGAGGCAUUGGUGGGAUACUACCCUUGUAUUAUGACCACUCUAACCCGCACCACUGAUCGUGGUGGGAGACAGUGUCAGGUGGGCAGUUUGACUGGGGCGGUCGCCUCCUAAAGUGUAACGGAGGCGCCCAAAGGUUCCCUCAGAAUGGUUGGAAAUCAUUCGCAGAGUGUAAAGGUAUAAGGGAGCUUGACUGCGAGACAGACAGGUCGAGCAGGGACGAAAGUCGGGCUUAGUGAUCCGGUGGUUCCGCAUGGAAGGGCCAUCGCUCAACGGAUAAAAGCUACCCUGGGGAUAACAGGCUUAUCUCCCCCAAGAGUUCACAUCGACGGGGAGGUUUGGCACCUCGAUGUCGGCUCGUCGCAUCCUGGGGCUGAAGUCGGUCCCAAGGGUUGGGCUGUUCGCCCAUUAAAGCGGCACGCGAGCUGGGUUCAGAACGUCGUGAGACAGUUCGGUCCCUAUCCGUCGUGGGCGUAGGAAAUUUGAGAGGAGCUGUCCUUAGUACGAGAGGACCGGGAUGGACAUACCGCUGGUGUACCAGUUGUUCCGCCAGGAGCAUCGCUGGGUAGCUAUGUAUGGAUGAGAUAAACGCUGAAAGCAUCUAGGCGGGAAGCGCGCCCUAAGAUGGGUCAUCCCUAGUAAUUUAAUUCCCCUAACGAUCCGUUCGAGACCAGGACGUUGAUAGGUCGGGUGUGUAAGCGCAGUAAUGCGUUCAGCUAACCGAUACUAAUUGCCCGUAAGGCUUGAUCCU